ACUCUAUUAACACACACUUUUUGUAAUAAUUCUCUUUUAAGACAUGUAGUGUAAUUUAUUGGGCAUUCAUAAUGCCUAUUAAAUGCGUCAUGCUAGACCUGCUGACAAUUAAUACAGUAUAAGAAUUAAUCAAAACUUUUCCAUACAUAAGUCACAACAAAUCUGACUGUAUUUACUGAGUUCACUUUGAUCCAGUUAAUAAUAAUUUGGGGGGGGGGGGUAUGCAACCGGAAGCGCUUUUUCCUGUAGAAACACGUGGUUGAUUAGGACAUAAAUACGACCUCUUGCCAGCGUAACAUCCUUUCUGCUGGCGACGUUCAGAGAAGUUGUAUCAUUUGUGGUUUCAGCGAAAUAUUGGGUUUGAUUGGCCUUUUUUAUUUUUUUUAGUAACGUUACUUAGAAACUAAUUUAAUUGCCUGUUUAUAUCGUUUUAGCCUACAUAUAUUGUAGAUGUGAAAAUUUAGCCUGCUGCGGGUUUUUUUUUUUUUUUACCGUUUGUAAAAUAUAGUUAGAAUCAAGAGGAGGUGUUCCCAAUCAAAUCGAUGUGACGGACCCAUUGGAUUUGUUCUCUGUAAGUGAAUCACUUUAUUCAUAUUUCACAGGAAUACUGAAAGCUAUGUGUGAUUUAAUUGAGAAGUUUUGUUGCUUGCCGAAUUGGCAGGUGCAUCUGCUUUGCUAACUACAUCCAGAUGCCUCGGGUUAAGCCCGACUGUAUCAGUACUGUCGCGGUUUAGCCUGCCUCGAGUCCGCCGCAGCUCAGCCCAGACAUGAUGAUUUAGCAGUCCGUGUUUCACCUGAAUCUGAUGAUUACAAACCUACUGCACUGACUGGUUAAAGUUGCGGAAUGCAGCGAUGAGAUGUUUUGGUUUCACUCGGAAUGUAUUAUAAUACGCAGCAUUUCUGUUUGUUUACAGGAACCCGCCUUUAUGGACAUGAGGUGAGUUCAAAUCUCGCGUGCCUUGUGCGAACAAAUGUCUCCCGCCGAGGUCAUGAAUUGCAUGAUAGUCCGUGUUUUGUGAUAGUCAGUGAUUAUUAGCAUGCUCCGAUUAAAGUGUUAAGCGGUGAAAACCAACCCGUUAUGUCUAAACCUUCGGAUUUUUUUUGUAAUGCAAUGUUCGUUUACUUUUUACAGAGACCCGCACUUAUGGAAAUGAGGUGAGCGCAAAUCUUGUUAGUCUCAUGCAAGCGAGUGUCUUUUGCUGAAGUGAUGAGUUGCAUGUAGUCCGUGUUUCUGAUAGCCAGUGAUUAUUAACAUGCUCUGAUUUAAAAUGUUCAGAGGUGAAAACGAACCCCAGUUUAGUAUGUUUGUUCUAAUCUCUUCAUUAAUAUUCUGCAGGUACCUUCGCGACUGAAAGCAGUAAAGUGUUUAAUAAGGUAUUUACUUCAUGUGACCAGACUGACUUCUAUGGUUUUGAGUAAACUCCACUGACCUUUUAUUAAAAAAUAUGUAUGUAGAAAACUAGAGUAUAUAAAUGUAACUUGUAGUAUAGUAGGUCCAUGUGCUUGCUAUCCUUUGAACUCUGAAAGAUGCCAGCAAUAUGCUGUCGGUCAGUGAUGUAAUUAUUUGAAACCGCUACAAUAAAUUCUCAUUUUAAAGUGCA